UUCCUACGGGGAGCAGCAGUAGGGAAUCUUCCGCAAUGGACGAAAGUCUGACGGAGCAACGCCGCGUGAGUGAUGAAGGUUUUCGGAUCGUAAAGCUCUGUUGUUAGGGAAGAACAAGUACCGUUCGAAUAGGGCGGUACCUUGACGGUACCUAACCAGAAAGCCACGGCUAACUACGUGCCAGCAGCCGCGGUAAUACGUAGGUGGCAAGCGUUGUCCGGAAUUAUUGGGCGUAAAGGGCUCGCAGGCGGUUUCUUAAGUCUGAUGUGAAAGCCCCCGGCUCAACCGGGGAGGGUCAUUGGAAACUGGGGAACUUGAGUGCAGAAGAGGAGAGUGGAAUUCCACGUGUAGCGGUGAAAUGCGUAGAGAUGUGGAGGAACACCAGUGGCGAAGGCGACUCUCUGGUCUGUAACUGACGCUGAGGAGCGAAAGCGUGGGGAGCGAACAGGAUUAGAUACC
rnacentral:rRNA from 1 species